GUAGGUGGCAAGCGUUGUCCGGAAUUAUUGGGCGUAAAGCGCGCGCAGGCGGUUCUUUAAGUCUGAUGUGAAAGCCCACGGCUCAACCGUGGAGGGUCAUUGGAAACUGGAGAACUUGAGUACAGAAGAGGAAAGCGGAAUUCCACGUGUAGCGGUGAAAUGCGUAGAGAUGUGGAGGAACACCAGUGGCGAAGGUGGCUUUCUGGUCUGUAACUGACGCUGAGGCGCGAAAGCGUGGGGAGCAAACAGGAUUAGAUACCCUGGUAGUCCACGCCGUAAACGAUGAGUGCUAAGUGUUAGGGGGUUUCCGCCCCCCUUAGUGCUGCAGCUAACGCAUUAAGCACUCCGCCUGGGAGUACGGCCGCAAGGCUG
rnacentral:rRNA from 1 species